rnacentral:rRNA from 1 species
GUAGGUGGCAAGCGUUAUCCGGAAUUAUUGGGCGUAAAGCGCGCGCAGGCGGUUUCUUAAGUCUGAUGUGAAAGCCCACGGCUCAACCGUGGAGGGUCAUUGGAAACUGGGGAACUUGAGUGCAGAAGAGAAAAGCGGAAUUCCACGUGUAGCGGUGAAAUGCGUAGAGAUGUGGAGGAACACCAGUGGCGAAGGCGGCUUUUUGGUCUGUAACUGACGCUGAGGCGCGAAAGCGUGGGGAGCAAACAGGAUUAGAUACCCUGGUAGUCCACGCCGUAAACGAUGAGUGCUAAGUGUUAGAGGGUUUCCGCCCUUUAGUGCUGCAGCUAACGCAUUAAGCACUCCGCCUGGGGAGUACGGUCGCAAGACUGAA